rnacentral:rRNA from 1 species
UACGUAGGGGGCAAGCGUUGUCCGGAAUUAUUGGGCGUAAAGGGCGCGUAGGCGGUUUGUCAAGUCGAAUGUGAAAGCCCAGGGCUCAACCUUGGAAGUGCAUCCGAAACUGGCAGACUAGAAUCUCGGAGAGGGUGGUGGAAUUCCCAGUGUAGAGGUGAAAUUCGUAGAUAUUGGGAGGAACACCGGUGGCGAAGGCGACCACCUGGACGAAAAGUGACGCUGAGGCGCGAAAGCGUGGGUAGCAAACAGG